rnacentral:lncRNA from 1 species
GGUCAGAGUGGAAGGAAAGCGUGUGUGUGUGUGUGUGUGUGUGUGUGUGUGUGCGUGUGUGCGUGUGUGCGUGUGUGUGUGUGUGUGUGUGUGUGUGUGUGUGUGUGUGUGCGAGAAACAAAGGAAGGAAGCAACUAUAGCUGCAGAGAGACACCCGUGUGUCAGAGCAAAGAUAUCUCACCUCACUGGUCUGUCUUGUUGGUCUGCUUCAGUGCGUAGGUUCUGAGGAACACUGUGCGCACUCUCUCCUCCCAUCAGCCGUGCUAUAAACCACUGCUUUGAGGAGGAGGGGUGACAAAAACAGAGAAACUCAGCACUCAGCAGAAGUAAGCCACUUUUCCUAUGAUGUAGUAGACAAAAAUAUUGAAACAAGGAGUUAUUUUAGCAUCCAAAGAGAAGGAGAGUCAAUGAGUGAAGAGCAGAAGAAACAAUGACAAGGUGAGGAGAAGAAGAUCUUCUAUCACAUGAAGUGAAACUUUGAAAGAUGGACCAAAACCAUGUGUGUGAGAUGACUGGCACAGAUCGGAGGAUUUGAGAAGCGAAACGACAGCCGCAACAGAAGUUGGACUCAACACUGACAUGGUUUACGCGCAGCUGACGUUUUCUGACAUGUUUGGAAAGCAAGGCAUCACAUCCCUGCAUCACAUCCAUCCCCUCAUUACCUGGAUCUGCUGCUGCUGCUGCUGUGUUCACACAUGUUGCGUUGACAUCAGGGUUUAACGUUCACUGCCUCCAUGUCUCAGUCACAGAACCCAACCGACACACAGGCCUUGCUGCAGUCGAUGCUGCAGAAACUGAAGCUGCAGCAGGGACGAGAGAACCAACCUGUGUUCAACCCCUACGCAUCAUCAUCAGAGGAGCAACAGCACGAGGAGAGAAGAGCUUCCCCCCCUCUCAACAAGAAACACCUUAGUGAGGAACGGGAGACAUCAUGGCCUGGAAUCACCCCAACAGGAGUCAAACAACUGUUUCCUGCUCAAACCCACAAGGAUGCUGACAUCACUUCCUGUGAAACAACUGAUGCAAAGAGGACGAUUUCAAGCAGUGACGCACUUCCAAACAACCAGUAUUCCAUCUCAAACAAAGGGCCGAGCCUUGACCAGGACCAGCAGUUUACACCCAGAGUGUACAUGUGGUCGCAGAAGAGCUCAGACUCCCACAAAGAGGAGCAGGGGGGCAAAGUGUUGCAAUUUGAUGCAGUUGAUGCACCAAAAUCAUCAAACAACGACAGCAACUUUAGAAAGGAAAAAUCCUCAGAGAGGAAACCAAGAAGGUGGACGUCAAAGAUUAAGGAGAGAUGGAGAUACAGGCAAGGCAGCUUUGGCAAAAAGGGAAAAGAAGAGAGCGACCCAGCCGAGCAGAAGAAUGUACAGAUUACCGAUGUUUCUUUAGAAAAUCCAUUCAACACGCUGCAUGAGGAUGGAGAAGAAACCCUCACUCCCACAGAAAUACCUCCAGCACAGGAAGAAGACUCCACUGUGAACAUCCCUACCAGAUCCACCAGUGACUUUGAAUUUGGCCUCGGCUCAUUCAGCCUGCUUGAGGAGAUCACCAUGGGCCAAAAGUGGGCCGAGUUUAUCAACCCCAACCUGAGGACCACUACCACACAAUCGGAAGAAAGUCAGAGUCGAACCAACACACCCGACAGCACGUGGAGCUUCAGCGGUGCAGAGUCAUCAUCACAAGCUACGGCACAACAAUCACCUGAUGCUUCCUUACCUGUUAGCAUGGAUGUCAGUGAAGGAAAAUGGUUACAACUCAGUUAUCAGAGACAGGCGGAUCAAUCAGAGCCAAUGGACGAUGGUGUGAACCAAUCAUCUCUGAGGCCUGCAGAGAACGGCCUGGACCAACAAUCAAGAUCCUUAACUUCUGUUAAAGCUACAUCUAUGGAUCGUUUGUAUGGCUCAGUGCAGAGAAGUCGCCUCCUGCUAAACAGAAAGAGGCAUCAUCAGUCCCAAACUCAGCAGAUGAGUGAUGGAGAGGAGACAGAUGAGUCUGUGACCAGCAGGCAAGCGAUGGAUGAAUCAGAGCCACAGCAGACUAACUCCCAUCCUGCACCAGAGUCUGCAUCCUCCUCCUCCUCCUACAGUCCUUCAGCAGCUCCAGCUCCUGCCCUCAGAGGUGUCCUCAAACACUCGGAUCGAGGAAGUCAGUCAAAAAGGAGGCGACUGGAGGUGAAUCGUCAUGUUCAUUUUUCUAUGGAGGUGGUGACCAUAGAGUCUCCUGUCCUGGACUACAGUGACUCUGAGGAAGAGGAGGAGGAGGAAGAGGAGGGAGAGGAGGAUGUGGUGACUGAGGAAGCUGAGGUGGAGCAAGGUCCAAUAGAGGACGCAGCCCCUGCCCGUCGACAUGCUCUUCCUCACUGGAUACUGGCUCUGAAGAGGAAGAACACAGGAAAGAAACAUGGAUAGAGACUGUGACCCUGGAAGCUUUGUUUGGCUUCACUGACUUUUUAAAAAAACUUCAUAUCUGUUUGGAUCAUUUUUUUAUAUAAAACCAUUUUGUAGGUUUUAAAACAUCAUAUGGAGCCGUAGUAUGUUUGAAAAAGGAUGAAAAGUCAGACUAGAGACUAUCAGUCUAACAAGGAUUAUCUUUGUGGCUUCACAGUUAGCAUCAUUUUAAAGCUGAAGUCCUAUUUUUCCACUUAGUUUCCCUGUCUUUUUCUCUUUUGAAUGUUUUACCUUUUUUAUUUUAUUUUUUUCAAAAAAAAAAAAAGAAAAAAAAAAGCCUAAGACCCAAACCUUUGUUUUCUGAAAACACAUAGUUCUUCUGCAACCUCAGACACUACAACCUUCACUAGCAGUUGUUUUAAAGCAAGAAAAGUAAAGCUGCUGAGGACGAUAACUAAACUUUUUUUUAAAAAAUUCUAUCUGUAUAUAUCAUGGGAAACGCCAUAAACAAACCAGAACAAAAGUGGCGUCUAGAGAAUCUCUGUCCUCCUUGUCUGGCAAGGAAACACGAGGAAAAAAACUUAUUGAAGAAACUUUUCCACUUCAGCACCAUAUUUGCAUUUUUGAACAGGAUUCCCAAUCCCUUAAUGCAAUGUGUGAAACCUUCCUAAAGUUGAAGUCACAAGUCAAAAACCGACCAAUUGUGAUGGAGUCAAAAACAAUCUAGUGAGCAGCAAUUUCAACCUUCAAAAGAAAUAUCUUUGAUUUAUUGAUGUAUUAUUAUUGAGGCCUACACUUUGGCUGUGUUCAAAAUUGCAUAACGCGCAAGUCUGACAUCAUAAUUAGUUUACAAUGCAUUCACAUUGGAUAGCAUGGACAGAUUAAGUAAAUGAGAAAUACCCAGAUGUAGUUUUUUAACGCUUUUGUAAAAAGGGCUCUUGUUCUGAAGUUAACCAGAGGUUUUAUCUGUAGCAUAAUGGCAGGUCUCCGAAAAUCUCCAAAAUGUCGGCCAUAAAUGUGAUUUAUGUAUUUAUCAAAUGACCACAUUUUGAUAUUCUACUUUCAAUUUCUCACUUUCAAAAGUAGAGAAUCAAGAGAUAUUUAGACUCAGUGUGUUUCAGGUUUCUGUCGUUGUAGGUUAGUAUACUUAGUGUAAAGUAUACUUAGUGGCAACAGUCACCAGUGACAUGCCGUGAGCACUAGCGUUGGGCGUUGCAAAUCGAGACCACUAAUGUCAAUACCAAUGACAAUUCCAUAUGUUUUUGCUGGCAAGUGUUAAUUCAAUUCAACUUAAUUUGUAUAAAGCAAUUUACAACAAUGCGCUAUACAAUCUCAAUGCGCUUAUCAAAGUAUAAAAUUCAUAACAAGAAAGAAAAAACCCAACAAGAUCCACAUGAACAAGCAUUUUGUCAUCUAACAAAAUCAAUAUAGUAAAACAACAUUAAAGAAACAUAAACAAUUAUUUAAUAAAGCCUCCAUACUCUCCCA